rnacentral:rRNA from 1 species
CGGUGCGGCAGCUUACCAUGCAGUCGAGCGGUAACAGAGAGUAGCUUGCUACUUUGCUGACGAGCGGCGGACGGGUGAGUAAUGCUUGGGAAUAUGCCUUAUGGUGGGGGACAACAGUUGGAAACGACUGCUAAUACCGCAUAACGUCUACGGACCAAAGGGGGGGAUCUUCGGACCUCUCGCCAUUUGAUUAGCCCAAGUGAGAUUAGCUAGUUGGUAAGGUAAAGGCUUACCAAGGCGACGAUCUCUAGCUGGUUUGAGAGGAUGAUCAGCCACACUGGGACUGAGACACGGCCCAGACUCCUACGGGAGGCAGCAGUGGGGAAUAUUGCACAAUGGGCGAAAGCCUGAUGCAGCCAUGCCGCGUGUGUGAAGAAGGCCUUCGGGUUGUAAAGCACUUUCAGUUGUGAGGAAAGGGGUGUGGUUAAUAGCUGCAUCCUGUGACGUUACCCACAGAAGAAGCACCGGCUAACUUCGUGCCAGCAGCCGCGGUAACAAGGGCGAAUUCGCGGCCGCUAAAUUCAAUUCGCCCUAUAGUGAGUCGUAUUACAAUUCACUGGCG